rnacentral:rRNA from 1 species
AGCAGCCGCGGUAAUUCCAGCUCCAAUAGCGUAUAUUAAAGUUGUUGCAGUUAAAAAGCUCGUAGUUGAAUUUCGGGAUCAAAUUGUCGGUCGUGCCUCGGUACGUACUGGCGUUAUUGGUUCCUCCCUUUCUGAAGAACCACGAUGUCAUUAAUUUGGUGUCGCGGGGAAUCAGGACUGUUACUUUGAAAAAAUUAGAGUGUUUAAAGCAGGCUCGCGCUUGAAUACAUUAGCAUGGAAUAAUGAAAUAGGACGUUUGAUUCUAUUUUGUUGGUUUCUAGGAUCGACGUAAUGAUUAAUAGGGAUAGUUGGGGGCAUUAGUAUUCAAUUGUCAGAGGUGAAAUUCUUGGAUUUAUUGAAGACUAACUACUGCGAAAGCAUUUGCCAAGGAUGUUUUCAUUAAUCAAGAACGAAAGUUAGGGGAUCGAAGACGAUCAGAUACCGUCGUAGUCUUAACCAUAAACUAUAGCCGACUAGGGAUCGGAUGAUGUAAUUUUUAAUGACUCAUUCGGCGCCUUAC